rnacentral:rRNA from 1 species
CGGCAACAGCUCAAAUUUGAAAUCUGGCGCUUCCGGCGUCCGAGUUGUAAUUUGUAGAGGAUGCUUCUGGGCAGCCACCGGUCUAAGUUCCUUGGAACAGGACGUCAUAGAGGGUGAGAAUCCCGUAUGCGACCGGAGAGGCGCCCUAUACGUAGCUCCUUCGAC